CGCAGCCGUUGGACUGCAAUGGCGGAGACAAUGAAGCUCAGUGGAAAUCACGCUCCUCCUAAUGAAGCCAGCAAAAUGUCCAGCUACAGGGACUGUGUGUGCGCGCUCCUGAAGCUGUUAGCAGACUUCGGGACAGAGCUCAAAUUAAGUGAUGCUGCUCUGAGAAUAGAAGUCAACAUCGAUGCUGUGGAUCUGCCAUCAUCUCCAGAUGCUCAUGUGCUGAGCUGUUUGCAGGAGCAUAUCACUAAAUUACAGGCUGUUUCAGAAAGCUUAAAGAUGCUGGUGGAUGCUCACGCUAAUACAUCAUCUACAAAAUCCAUCACAUCAGACGAUGCCGUCACCUCAUCGUCACUCCAAGAGCAGACGAUUGCACUGUCUGAGCACCAUCCUCCCAGCCCUGAGGCGGCAGAGAGCAAGACGGCGGCUGAUGACGUCAUGGUUCAGAUCAGAGCCAGGAAGUCAGAGAUUGAGCGAAGAAUAUCUGCAUUUAUGGAACGCAAGCAGAUGGAGAUCAAUGAAAACAAUGUACGCGAGUUUUGCAACGUGAUCGACUGCAAUCAGGAAAACAGUUGUGCCAGAACAGAUGCAGUUUUCACUCCUUAUCCUGGUUUUAAAAGCCAUGUGAAAGUUACACGGGUGGUAAACACUUACGGGCCCCAGACUCGUGGUGGUGGAGGCCAAGGAGAGGUAGGGGAUCAGCAGAGGGGGCAGAUAGGCAGAGACUGCGGAAAUACAGCCAUAGAAGAGCGACUUCACAACAUCGAGACUCACCUGAAGCUCCCAACAGCGGGUCCAGUUCCACUGAGUGUGUACCAGAGACUGAAGAGGCUGGAGGAUCGUAUCCUGGAGUUGGAGGGACUCUCACCAGAGUACUUUCAGUCCGCGAGUCACCUGCACAAGCGACCAAAGACAUCCCCUGCUCAGUCCUGCAGUCUGACAGAGCUGGAUGAAAAGAUCAGCGCAGUGAAAGCGGCACUACUGAAGAAGACUUUUCCUUGAACUCCAUGGAAAACAUGAGGACAGUUAAAGUGUGAAAGGGGGAGAGACUGGAUGACAUGGAGCAAAGGGCCACAGGCUGGAAUCAAACACACAAACACAGGCGGCAGCAGCAGGGUCACAGCCUAAGUAUGGAGUGCCUACUCUACCAGGCAAGGUGUACCUCGCUCGUUGGGCUCUGUCUGUCUCUUGCUCAUAGACUGGAACCUCCUGGGCAACAAGAGGCCACACUGUGCUGGGAAGGGGAGCACUUGAGCUGCAGCAAUGUGGAUGGACGUUGAAGGGGAAGAGUAGGGAGGGGGUUGCUCAUUGUUCCCCUGGAGCUUUUGUCUCAGACACAGUCCCCUUAUGAGGGUUAAUGAGGACAAAUUGGUCUGAGUGUAACAAAUGGAUUAUGGAGUUGGACAAAAGGUUGUAUUUUGUGGGCUGCGUUCGCUGGGAUCCACCCAUCAUCUGCCCAUUGAGCCGAGCACGCUGACUAGCGUCUGCAUGAAGUGGCUCACUAAAUAUCUCAUUAUCUUUAUCCUGUCUGUUUUAUUACAUGAGCACAUUAUGUGUGCAGCUUCCUACAGUGAAUUUAACUAAAAUGUAAAGUUUAGCUCACAAUAAUGCUGUUUGUAAUCACUGUAAUUACCCGGCUUAUUUCCUACAGCUCACGUCAGGAAAAUAGAGUCAAUAUGUCAACAUUAGUGUCAGUGGUUGGUGCUCUAAGGUUGGGUGGGCAUAGUGCACCCUUUCAAAUUAACAAAGAGCCACUUCCUCAUUGACUCUAUGUAAUUCCUGCCUGUCAAUCAGUCCUCCCUCUGCCUGAUUUCUUGUAACGUCCUUGGGAACCUCACUAAAAAGACACAGAGGUGUUCCUUGUCCUCUAUGGGUCCGGUUGUAUUUUUUGGUGGGGUCGAUGGAG